rnacentral:rRNA from 1 species
GAUGAACGCUGGCGGCGUGCCUAAUACAUGCAAGUCGAGCGAACAGAUAAGGAGCUUGCUCCUUUGACGUUAGCGGCGGACGGGUGAGUAACACGUGGGUAACCUACCUAUAAGACUGGGAUAACUUCGGGAAACCGGAGCUAAUACCGGAUAAUAUUUCUAACCGCAUGGUUCGAUAGUGAAAGAUGGUUUUGCUAUCACUUAUAGAUGGACCCGCGCCGUAUUAGCUAGUUGGUAAGGUAACGGCUUACCAAGGCGACGAUACGUAGCCGACCUGAGAGGGUGAUCGGCCACACUGGAACUGAGAAAAGGUCCAGACUCCUACGGGAGGCAGCAGUAGGGAAUCUUCCGCAAUGGGCGAAAGCCUGACGGAGAAACGCCGCGUGAGUGAUGAAGGUCUUCGGAUCGUAAAACUCUGUUAUUAGGGAAGAACAUACGUGUAAGUAACUGUGCACGUCUUGACGGUACCUAAUCAGAAAGCCACGGAUAACUACGUG